UACCUAACUGUACACAAACUUGGCAUCUCCUGGGUGGCUCCUCUGACCAUGGACAUACACAAGUUCAUCACUUUGUGAACCAAGGUGCACUACUAUCCUGUAUAAUAAAAGCCUAAUAUGCCAA